rnacentral:rRNA from 1 species
AGCUCCAAUAGCGUAUAUUAAAGUUGUUGCAGUUAAAAAGCUCGUAGUUGGAUUUCUGGUAGGAGCAACCCGUCACACACUCUGUGUGUGAACUUGUGUUGUCUCUGGCCAUCCUUGGGGAGAUCCUGUUUGGCAUUAAGUUGUCGGGCAGGGGAUGCCCAUCGUUUACUGUGAAAAAAAUAGAGUGUUUAAAGCAGGCUUAUGCCGUUGAAUAUAUUACGUAGCAUGGAAUAAUAAGAUAGGACUUCGGAACUAUUUUGUUGGUUUGCGUUACGAAGUAAUGAUUAAUAGGGACAGUUGGGGUUAUUCGUAUUUUGUUGUCAUAGGUGAAAUUCUUGGAUGUCCGAAAGAUGAACUACUGCGAAAGCAUUUACCAAGAAUGUUUUCA